rnacentral:rRNA from 1 species
ACUCAAAUGAAUAGACGGGGGCUCGCACAAGUGGUGGAGCAUGCGGUUUAAUUCGAUGCUACGCGAAAAACCUUACCAACCCUUGACAUGGUGGUCGCGGGUCUCAGAGAUGAGACCCUUCAGUUCGGCUGGACCACACACAGGUGUUGCAUGGCUGUCGUCAGCUCGUGUCGUGAGAUGUUGGGUUAAGUCCCGCAACGAGCGAAACCCUCAUCCUUAUUUGCCAGCGGUUCGGCCGGGGACUAUAAGGAAACUGCCGGUGAUAAGCCGGAGGAAGGUGGGGAUGAUGUCAAGUCAUCAUGGCCCUUAUGGGUUGGGCUACACGCGUGCUACAAUGGUAUCUACAGAGGGAAGCAAUAUGGCGACAUGGAGCAAAUCCUCAAAGGAUAUCUCAGUUCGGAUUGGUCUCUGCAACUCGAGACCAUGAAGUCGGAAUCACUAGUAAUCGCGGAUCAGCAUGCCGCGGUGAAUACGUUCUCGGGCCUUGUACACACCGCCCGU